GCUGUCAAUCAUGCUCUCCUCCCCCUCUACCCCACAACUUUGUUCCUAGCCCUUGCUUCCACAGUCAAACCCUUUUUGCAAGAGACCUUACUGGGGUAGUGAGAUUUUUGGUGGGGUUUUGUUUUUAAUUUCUUCUUCCCCCCCUAAGUUCACUCAGAAACCCAGGAUGCACAGACUCUGCUUCUGGCUUGGCAUGCCAAGACGUUGCAAGGUUCUGUUUCCUCCAUGGGAAUCCACUGGCAGAAACAAGCCAAGUGCCCAGGGAAGCUGAUGGGACCAUGGAGUCUGCCUGGAUUUGGUCUCAUUACGCACCUCAAUAAACCAAGCAGUUGAUGAGUGUAAGCACGAGGAACUAAAAUUGUUCCUGGUGCACUUCUGCUGGCCUUGGUGAAAUUACACCAUCAUCAGUGUGACACAAAGAGGGUGACUCAAAUCACACAGUGAAGGGCAAGAGAUGAAUGACCUGGGGUCACUGCUGCCAGAGAGGGUUCAGAUGCCUGAUCUGAUGUGGUGGGGAAGGCAGAGAUUGUACAAGAACAAUGAUUCAUUCUGUAGCAAUAAGCAAUGGCAUUAUGGUGCUUGAUUUGCAGAUCAACUUUGGUUCAGUGGAGAACAGUGGAGAGUAACUUAGCUAGUUGCUAAAUGUUGAACUGCACAUUUGGGCACUUAUGAGUAUGGCCAGAAACAGAAAUGAGAAUGUGUGUGCCUUGAUACCACGGGCCUCUGGGAAGUGCAAGAUCUCAGAAGCAGCUGGGUUUCCUGUUUUGUGGACCUAAACUUUGGGCUUAGUGUCUAAAGUGGAGGCAAAAUAGCAGUUAGUAUUUUGGUGACUCUCGUCUUUAAUCCUAAAAUAAAUCCAUAUUGGAAAAUAUAUAAAAUCUGAAGCUCCUCCCCCAAAUAUAAACGAGCAAUCUGAGUGCCUUCCACAAUCUAAACUACCAGAAACCUGUGUCUUUCUGAGGGCUGGGUUUGCUGCUAACUUAUGACCGAUAACAUUAACAUUUCUCUAUAAAUUUAGCUGUCUCUCAGUUUUCUUGGCCAUAUAUCCUCUCUUCUAGACACUUAUGUUCCCUCUGUCCCUAACAAACUCCCCUCCUCUACUGUUUUCUUCUCCUUGCUAUCACAGCUCAUGGUAGCUGGACACACCAAAGCACAGUCAUUACCUGGAAACGCAGCAUCUUGUAUUAACACUUGAGCAGUAUGAUUUAAAGAAGUGCCUCAGUGGGUAUUACAUCACUCCUGACCUUGUUUGGACUGGAACAACUUCAUAUAUUUCCACGUAUCUUCUCAACAUGCUCCAUCAGCACUGAUCUUGGGGUAUGCUCCAACACGUCCAUACUGCAUGGACCCACUUAGCACACCCUUCCCUCCUGUUAGGUACCUUGAAUCCAUGUUUUCUCCAGCAAAGUUUUAUUAAGAUCUCCAAAUUUAUGUCAUAUGCUGGAUUUCAGGAAGGCUGCCUUCUUAUGUUUGCCAGUCUGUUAUGUUCAAAGGAGCCCUGUGUACAGGUGAUGUGUAAAGCUUUUAGGCGCCUACAUGAGAUAACAGUGGGGGAGUCUGAUCCACUGGGAUAGGAAGAUGGAUCUUUACUUGGUCAGAUGAGCACCAUGAUGAUGUUUCUGCCUGAUAUUUCACUGAAGUUUCCCUGUCUGAAGGUGCUAAAGGUUGAAGCGUGAUUCCUUUUUUGUUGGAACUCCAGUAAAAUGAAGCAUGUUCCAUGUAAAAAGGAGGGGAAAGCCAGGGUUUAGCCUGAGGCCUGGUGUCAGUAAAGAUGAUGGUGAUGGAAAGCACUUACUAAAACUCUUCAUCAUCUUUUUUUAUCGUUUUAGGAAAAACUUCAUGACUUACUGUUCUGCAAAUGCCCUCCUCCCACUCCCUUCAUUUUUCUACAAACUCUUCUAAGCCCACAGUAUAGAAAUCCUGCACUGUUUCAUUAAGGUGUUUUCUGUCUUCCAGAAAUGCUAGAAGCUCUUUUGUACCGGCUUUUCAUGUCCCAGAAGGACUUGGGGCCAAAGGAAUGGGAUUUCCAUUUUUUGUUUGGAAACAAGAGAUUGCAUUUUAAAAACAUUGGUGGAGUAACCUGAUACAGUACCAACUGUCAUACACAAACUCAGAAAACUUGGUGUAGUGUUCUUGGCUUUGUCAGUGACUCUUUGUGUGAUUCUGAUAGGUCAGGUUCCUUAUUUGUGUCUGUAUUUCCUGCUUGUAAAAUUUUGGAAGUAGUUGCUUCUCUGUGUGUCAUAUUAGUUCCUUCAGGAAGGAACUGUCUCACUCUCUGGUUGUGAGGACCUGAGCUAGAACAUCAAGGUACAGCUAUGAAUCAUAGACUUUAUAAUAAAAAUAGAUGCCAUUGCUGUUACUGAACAUAUGCGCAGAACUGGGAUCCCAGUUCUUGUAUUUGAAGGCCAGAAUGAAUGAUAAAUGGUGCUCCAUCUUAUUUACUUUUUCUCCUCCUUUUUAUUCAAGUAUAUUUUGCUCUGUGGCCAGGGGGUCACAGGAAAUGCAUGAAGUGCAAAUGUUGAAUGCUGCUUCCUCCACCAUUGCCAGUAAGACAGAAAUCUUCUAAGGACAUGGUUUCUCAGUGCCUGGGUGCCACUGACCUGGAACUGUUACAGACUUUCAGACUGUCUUUCAGACUUUCUUUCAGACUGUCACCGCCUUAACUUCCUUUAGCAGUUCGUACUCUGUUUGCACAGG